rnacentral:rRNA from 1 species
GUCGACGGACGAGGCCCCUUCGGGGACUGAGUUAGUGGCGAACGGGUGAGUGACGCGUGAGGAACCUGCCUUUCAGUGGGGGACAACAGUCGGAAACGACUGCUAAUACCGCAUGAAGCAAUUGAACCGCAUGAUUUGAUUGCCAAAGAUUUAUUGCUGAAAGAUGGCCUCGCGUCUGAUUAGCUAGUUGGUGGGGUAACGGCCCACCAAGGCGACGAUCAGUAGCCGGUCUGAGAGGAUGAACGGCCACAUUGGGACUGAGAUACGGCCCAGACUCCUACGGGAGGCAGCAGUGGGGAAUAUUGGGCAAUGGGGGAAACCCUGACCCAGCAACGCCGCGUGAAGGAAGAAGGCUUUCGGGUCGUAAACUUCUUUUACCAGGGACGAAGAAAGUGACGGUACCUGGAGAAAAAGCCACGGCUAACUACGUGCCAGCAGCCGCGGUAAUACGUAGGUGGCAAGCGUUGUCCGGAUUUACUGGGUGUAAAGGGCGUGUAGGCGGAGAUUCAAGUCAGGAGUGAAAUCUAUGGGCUUAACCCAUAAACUGCUUUUGAAACUGAAUCCCUUGAGUAUCGGAGAGGCAGGCGGAAUUCCUAGUGUAGCGGUGAAAUGCGUAGAUAUUAGGAGGAACACCAGUGGCGAAGGCGGCCUGCUGGACGACAACUGACGCUGAGGCGCGAAAGCGUGGGGAGCAAACAGGAUUAG